AGCUUUUUAGUUUAAGUAAAAAAAAUAUCUGCUUGUGGUGCAGAAGAAAGUAGGGCUU
rnacentral:tRNA from 1 species